AUACGGAGGGGGUUAGCGUUGUUCGGAAUUACUGGGCGUAAAGCGCACGUAGGCGGAUUGGAAAGUUGGGGGUGAAAUCCCAGGGCUCAACCCUGGAACUGCCUCCAAAACUAACAGUCUAGAGUUCGAGAGAGGUGAGUGGAAUUCCAAGUGUAGAGGUGAAAUUCGUAGAUAUUUGGAGGAACACCAGUGGCGAAGGCGGCUCACUGGCUCGAUACUGACGCUGAGGUGCGAAAGCGUGGGGAGCAAACAGGAUUAGAAACCCUAAUAGUCC
rnacentral:rRNA from 1 species